UGAGGGGGGCUGCUCCUAGUACGAGAGGACCGGAGUGGACGCAUCACUGGUGUUCGGGUUGUCAUGCCAAUGGCACUGCCCGGUAGUUAAAUGCGGAAGAGAUAAGUGCUGAAAGCAUCUAAGCACGAAACUUGCCCCGAGAUGAGUUCUCCCUGACUCCUUGAGAGUCCUGAAGGAACGUUGAAGACGACGACGUUGAUAGGCCGGGUGUGUAAGCGCAGCGAUGCGUUGAGCUAACCGGUACUAAUGAACCGUGAGGCUUAACCUU
rnacentral:rRNA from 1 species